UAUCCGUAGGUGAACCUGCGGAAGGAUCAUUAUUGAAUAAACCUGAUGUGGUUGUAGCUGCCCUUUCGGGAGCAUGUGCACACCCGUCGUCUUUAUCUUUCCACCUGUGCACCUUUUGUAGACCUGGAUGUAGCACUUUCCGAGGCAACUCGGUCGGGAGGAAUGCUGUCAGCUUUCCUUGAAUGUCCAGGCCUAUGUUUUCAUAUACCCCAAAGAAUGUAACAGAAUGUAUUAUUGGGCCCUGUGCCUAUAAACUAUAUACAACUUUCAGCAACGGAUCUCUUGGCUCUC
rnacentral:misc_RNA from 1 species